UACGAAGGGGGCUAGCGUUGUUCGGAAUUACUGGGCGUAAAGCGCGCGCAGGCGGCUAUCCAAGUCAGUGGUGAAAGCCCGGAGCUUAACUCCGGAACUGCCAUUGAAACUGUUUAGCUUGAGUAUGAGAGAGGUGAGUGGAAUUCCCAGUGUAGAGGUGAAAUUCGUAGAUAUUGGGAAGAACACCAGUGGCGAAGGCGGCUCACUGGCUCGUAACUGACGCUCAGGCGCGACAGCGUGGGGAUCAAACAGG
rnacentral:rRNA from 1 species